GAUGGAGAAGCAGUGCACGUGCUUCCUGAGAUCCCAGAUCUGGUGCACAGCUGCAGGAUCACCAGGUAUCAGCUGAGCUGUCCCUGUCUCCUCCCCC
rnacentral:miRNA from 1 species